CAGCCGCCGCGGUAAUACAGAGGUGGCAAGCGUUGUUCGGAAUUACUGGGCGUAAAGGGCGAGUAGGCGGCCUUCUAAGUCAGACGUGAAAUCCCCCGGCUUAACCUGGGAACUGCGUCUGAUACCGGGAGGCUAGAGUUUGGGAGAGGGGUGUAGAAUUCCAGGUGUAGCGGUGAAAUGCGUAGAUAUCUGGAGGAAUACCGGUGGCGAAGGCGGCACCCUGGACCAAUACUGACGCUGAUCCGCGAAAGCUAGGGGAGCAAACGGGAUUAGAUACCCGAGUAGUCCCUGUCUCUUAUCA
rnacentral:rRNA from 1 species